AUAGUCUUUUAAUUGUAGACUUGUGAAUGGUUUAAUGAGGUGUGAUUAAGGUGAUAGUCUAUUAUCUGAAUUUAGUUUAGUGGUUAGGAACCCACUAUUACAUUAUUAGACGGAAAGACCCCAAGAGCUUUUUUUGUGUUAGAUUUGUUUGGGGUAAAUGUAGAUUGUUCAUUUAUUUUUAGAUCCUUCAUGGAUAAAAGGAUAAAGUUACCUUGGGGAUAACUGAGUAAAGGACAGGGAGAGGUCCUAUUGAUCUGUUUAUUACUACCUCGAUGUUGGCUUGUUGAACCUUUUCGGUGUAGAGGCUGGAAAAGGAAGUCUGUUCGACUUUUAAAUCUUCAUGAGUUGAGUUAAGACCGGUGUAAGCCAGGUUGGUUCUUAUCUAUAAUUGGUUCUAAUUAGUACGAAAGGAUUAUUAGGAUACAGUGUUUCUGUACGUAUAGGAAUAGGAAGUAUACAU
rnacentral:rRNA from 1 species